rnacentral:rRNA from 1 species
AUAUUGCACAAUGGAGGGAACUCUGAUGCAGCAACGCCGCGUGAGUGAAGAAGGUUUNNNGAUCGNACAACUCUGUCAUUGGGNAAGNAUAAAUGACGGUACCCAAUGAGGAAGCCCCGGCUAACUACGUGCCAGCAGCCGCGGUAAUACGUAGGGGGCGAGCGUUGUCCGGAAUUAUUGGGCGUAAAGGGUUCGCAGGCGGCCUUUUAAGUCAGAUGUGAAAGAUCACGGCUCAACCGUGGUAAGCAUUUGAAACUGGAGGGCUUGAGUGUCGGAGAGGGCAGUGGAAUUCCCAGUGUAGCGGUGGAAUGCGUAGAUAUUGGGAGGAACACCAGUGGCGAAGGCGACUGCCUGGACGAUAACUGACGCUGAGGCACGAAAGCUAGGGGAGCAAACA